rnacentral:rRNA from 1 species
GACGAACGCUGGCGGCGUGCUUAACACAUGCAAGUCGAACGGAAAGGCCCUGCUUUUGUUGGGUGCUCGAGUGGCGAACGGGUGAGUAACACGUGAGUAACCUGCCCUUGACUUUGGGAUAACUUCAGGAAACUGGGGCUAAUACCGGAUAGGAGCUCCUGCUGCAUGUUGGGGGUUGGAAAGUUUCGGCGGUUGUGGAUGGACUAGCGGCUCAUCCGCUUGUUGGUGGGGUAGGGGCUUACCAAGGCUUUGACGGGUAGCCGGCAUGAGAGGGUGAACGGCGACAAUGGGCCUGAGGUACGGCCCAGAAGCGUACGGGAGGCAGCAGGGGGGAACAUUGCACAAUGGGGCGACGCCUGAUGCAGAAACGCCGCGUGCGGGAUGACGUCCUUCGGGUUGUAAACCGCUUUCGCAGGUGCCGAAGCGUGAGUGACGGUAAUGGGUAAAGAAGCACCGGCUAACUACGUG